AGUGAACGCUGGCGGUAGGCCUAACACAUGCAAGUCGAACGGCAGCACAGGAAAGCUUGCUCUCUGGGUGGCGAGUGGCGGACGGGUGAGGAAUACAUCGGAAUCUACUUUUUCGUGGGGGAUAACGUAGGGAAACGUACGCUAAUACCGCAUACGACCUACGGGUGAAAGCAGGGGAUCUUCGGACCUUGCGCGAUUGAAUGAGCCGAUGUCGGAUUAGCUAGUUGGCGGGGUAAAGGCCCACCAAGGCGACGUUCCGUAGCUGGUCUGAGAGGAUGAUCAGCCACACUGGAACUGAGACACGGUCCAGACUCCUACGGGAGGCAGCAGUGGGGAAUAUUGGACAAUGGGCGCAAGCCUGAUCCAGCCAUGCCGCGUGGGUGAAGAAGGCCUUCGGGUUGUAAAGCCCUUUUGUUGGGAAAGAAAUCCAGCUGGUUAAUACCCGGUUGGGAUGACGGUACCCAAAGAAUAAGCACCGGCUAACUUCGUGCCAGCCGCCGCAGUAACAC
rnacentral:rRNA from 1 species